rnacentral:rRNA from 1 species
UACGGAGGAUGCAAGCGUUAUCCGGAAUGAUUGGGCGUAAAGCGUCCGCAGGUGGCUAUGUAAGUCUGCUGUUAAAGAGUGAGGCUCAACCUCAUAAGAGCAGUGGAAACUACAUGGCUAGAGUGCGUUCGGGGCAGAGGGAAUUCCUGGUGUAGCGGUGAAAUGCGUAGAGAUCAGGAAAACACCGGUGGCGAAAGCGCUCUGCUAGGCCGCAACUGACACUCAUGGACGAAAGCUAGGGGAGCGAAUGGG